GACGAACGCUGGCGGCGCGCCUAACACAUGCAAGUCGAACGGAGUCAAGAGGAGCUUGCUUUUCUUGACUUAGUGGCGAACGGGUGAGUAACGCGUGAGUAACCUGCCCUGGAGUGUGGGACAACAGUUGGAAACGACUGCUAAUACCGCAUAAGCCCACGGAUCCGCAUGGAUCUGCGGGAAAAGGAUUUAUUCGCUUCAGGAUGGACUCGCGUCCAAUUAGCUAGUUGGUGAGGUAACGGCCCACCAAGGCGACGAUUGGUAGCCGGACUGAGAGGUUGAACGGCCACAUUGGGUCUGAGACACGGACCAGACUCCUACGGGAGGCAGCAUUGGGGGAUAUUGCACAAUGGGGGAAACCCUGAUGCGGCGACGCAGCGUGGAGGAAGAAGGUUUUCGGAUUGUAAACUCCUGUCGUUAGGGACGAUAAUGACGGUACCUAACAAGAAAGCACCGGCUAACUACGUGCCAGCCGCCGCCGUAAGAC
rnacentral:rRNA from 1 species